AUCUUCCUCUGAACUUCAGUAAUGAACCUGGACCCUCAGACACAAAAGUUCAGUACAGACAGAGAGCAGAGUCUCCAGUAUCCAGCUGUCUGUCUAUGAAGAGUGAUCGGUCCAAAGAUCAUCCUCCAGACUUCAGUAAUGAACCUGGACCCUCAGACACAAAGAGGAAGCUGGAACAACCUGAACCCAGCUGUGUGUCCAUGAAGAGUGACCAGUCUAUGGGUCUUCCUUUAGUCUUCAAAGAUGGACGCC